rnacentral:rRNA from 1 species
AGAGUUUGAUCAUGGCUCAGAAUGAACGUUGGCGGCGUGGAUUAGGCAUGCAAGUCGAGCGAGAAGCCGUUUAUUGAAACUUCGGUCGAUGUAAAUGGUGGAAAGCGGCGAAAGGGAGAGUAACACGUAGAUACGUACCUUUGGGUUCGGGAUAGCCACGGGAAACUGUGGGUAAUACCGAAUAAUGUCUUCGGACCAAAGAUUUAUUGCCCAAAGAUCGGUCUGCGUCCUAUUAGCUAGUUGGUGAGGUAAUGGCUCACCAAGGCGAAGAUGGGUAGCGGGCGUGAGAGCGUGGCCCGUCUCACUGGGACUGAGACACUGCCCAGACACCUACGGGUGGCUGCAGUCGAGAAUCUUCCGCAAUGGGCGAAAGCCUGACGGAGCGACGCCGCGUGCGGGAUGAAGGCUUUCGGGUUGUAAACCGCUGUCAGAGGGGAGCAAAAUUUGAGCGAUCCUCAAAGGAAGCGCAGGCUAAGUUCGUGCCAGCAGCCGCGGUAAUACGAACUGCGCGAACGUUAUUCGGAAUCACUGGGCUUAAAGAGUUCGUAGGCGGCUAUGUAGGUCAGGUGUGAAAUCCCACAGCUCAACUGUGGAAUUGCGCUUGAAACCGCAUGGCUUGAGGGAGAUAGAGGUAAGCGGAACUGAUGGUGGAGCGGUGAAAUGCGUUGAUAUCAUCAGGAACACCGGUGGCGAAGGC